GACGAACGCUGGCGGCGUGCUUAACACAUGCAAGUCGAACGGAAAGGCCCUGCUUGCAGGGUACUCGAGUGGCGAACGGGUGAGUAACACGUGGGUGAUCUGCCCUGCACUUCGGGAUAAGCUUGGGAAACUGGGUCUAAUACCGGAUAGGAGCCAUCUCUAGUGUGGUGGUUGGAAAGUUUUUUCGGUGUAGGAUGAGCUCGCGGCCUAUCAGCUUGUUGGUGGGGUAAUGGCGUACCAAGGCGGCGACGGGUAGCCGGCCUGAGAGAGUGUACGGCCAGACUAGGACUGGGAUACGGGCCAGACUCCGACGGGAGGGAGCAGUGGGGAAUAUUGGACAAUGGGAGCAAGCCUGAUGCAGCGACGCCGCGUGGGGGAUGAAGGCCUUCGGGUUGUAAGAACCUUUCGCUAGGGACGAAGCUUUGUUGUGACGGUACCUAGAUAAGAAGCACCGGCUAACUACGUG
rnacentral:rRNA from 1 species